AUUCAGAUUAUUCAGUCAAUGGAAGAUGUGUUGCGGAAGAUUCAUUAAUCACUGACACAGGUCAGUCCUGCAGAACGUGCAAGAUGCUACACCAGGAUAAUUCAGCUUCCUGCAGUUACUUUCAGUGUAGCAACCCCA